UCUCCGUUGGUGAACCAGCGGAGGGAUCAUUACUGAGUAUAUCCUACUACUCUCAACCCUUUGCGAACGUACCUGUUCUGUUGCUUCGGCAGGCCGUCCCCUGGGAGGGGCAGCCAGCGCCUGCCGGAGGCCAACCAAAAAUUCUAGCUGUUUUUGUACCAUCUGAGUCUUCCACAAAUAAACAAAACUUUCAACAACGGAUCUCUUGGUUCUG
rnacentral:misc_RNA from 1 species